UACGUAGGGGGCUAGCGUUGUCCGGAAUCAUUGGGCGUAAAGCGCGUGUAGGCGGCUCGGUAAGUCCGCUGUGAAAGUCGGGGGCUCAACCCUCGGAUGCCGGUGGAUACUGUCGGACUAGAGUACGGAAGAGGCGAGUGGAAUUCCUGGUGUAGCGGUGAAAUGCGCAGAUAUCAGGAGGAACACCAAUGGCGAAGGCAGCUCGCUGGGACGGUACUGACGCUGAGACGCGAAAGCGUGGGGAGCAAACAGG
rnacentral:rRNA from 1 species